UACGUAGGGUGCAAGCGUUGUCCGGAAUUAUUGGGCGUAAAGAGCUCGUAGGCGGUCUGUUGCGUCCGCUGUGAAAACUCGGGGCUUAACCCCGAGCCUGCAGUGGAUACGGGCAGACUAGAGGUAGGUAGGGGAGAAUGGAAUUCCCGGUGUAGCGGUGAAAUGCGCAGAUAUCAGGAGGAACACCGGUGGCGAAGGCGGUUCUCUGGGCAUUACCUGACGCUGAGGAGCGAAAGUGUGGGGAGCGAACAGG
rnacentral:rRNA from 1 species